CAGCACCUCAAGUGGUCAGGAUGAUUAUUGGGCCUAAAGCAUCCGUAGCCGGCGCUGUAAGUUUUCGGUUUAAUCUGUACGCUCAACGUACAGGCUGCCGGGAAUACUGCAGCGCUAGGGAGUGGGAGAGGUAGACGGUACUCGGUAGGAAGGGGUAAAAUCCUUUGAUCUAUUGAUGACCACCUGUGGCGAAGGCGGUCUACCAGAACACGUCCGACGGUGAGGGAUGAAAGCUGGGGGAGCAAACCGGAUUAGAUACCCGCGUAGUCC
rnacentral:rRNA from 1 species